GGACCAAGGAGUCUAGCAUGUGCGCGAGUCAUUGGGAUAUUUACGAAACCUAAAGGCGCAAUGAAAGUGAAGGUUCGCCUUGCGCGAACCGAGGGAGGAUGGACGGUUUCGAGGAACCGUCUCGCACUCCCGGGGCGUCUCGCUCUCAUCGCGAGAAGAGGCGCACCCAGAGCGUACACGCUGGGACCCGAAAGAUGGUGAACUAUGCCUGGUCAGGACGAAGUCAGGGGAAACCCUGAUGGAGGUCCGUAGCGAUUCUGACGUGCAAAUCGAUCGUCGGAACUGGGUAUAGGGGCGAAAGACUAAUCGAACCAUCUAGUAGCUGGUUCCCUCCGAAGUUUCCCUCAGGAUAGCUGGCGCUCGCUUCUCGCGAGUCUCAUUCGGUAAAGCGAAUGAUUAGAGGCAUUGGGGUCGAAACGGCCUCAACCUAUUCUCAAACUUUAAAUGGGUGAGAUCUCCGGCUUGCUUGAACUAUGAAGCCGCGAGAUAUCGGAUCAGAGUGCCAAGUGGGCCACUUUUGGUAAGCAGAACUGGCGCUGUGGGAUGAACCAAACGCUGAGUUAAAGCGCCUAAAUCGACGCUUAUGGGAUACCAUGAAAGGCGUUGGUAACUUAAGACAGCAGGACGGUGGCCAUGGAAGUCGGA
rnacentral:rRNA from 1 species